AGGAGCUUGCUCCUCUGACGUUAGCGGCGGACGGGUGAGUAACACGUGGAUAACCUACCUAUAAGACUGGGAUAACUUCGGGAAACCGGAGCUAAUACCGGAUAACAUGUUGAACCGCAUGGUUCAACAGUGAAAGACGGUCUUGCUGUCWCUUAUAGAUGGAUCCGCGCCGCAUUAGCUAGUUGGUAAGGUAACGGCUUACCAAGGCAACRAUGCGUAGCCGACCUGAGAGGGUGAUCGGCCACACUGGAACUGAGACACGGUCCAGACUCCUACGGGAGGCAGCAGUAGGGAAUCUUCCGCAAUGGGCGAAAGCCUGACGGAGCAACGCCGCGUGAGUGAAGAAGGUCUUCGGAUCGUAAAACUCUGUUAUUAGGGAAGAACAAAUGUGUAAGUAACUAUGCACGUCUUGACGGUACCUAAUCAGAAAGCCACGGCUAACUACGUGCCAGCAGCCGCGGUAAUACGUAGGUGGCAAGCGUUAUCCGGAAUUAUUGGGCGUAAAGCGCGCGUAGGCGGUUUUUUAAGUCUGAUGUGAAAGCCCACGGCUCAACCGUGGAGGGUCAUUGGAAACUGGAAAACUUGAGUGCAGAAGAGGAAAGUGGAAUUCCAUGUGUAGCGGUGAAAUGCGCAGAGAUAUGGAGGAACACCAGUGGCGAAGGCGACUUUCUGGUCUGUAACUGACGCUGAUGUGCGAAAGCGUGGGGAUCAAACAGGAUUAGAUACCCUG
rnacentral:rRNA from 1 species